CUCAGUGGCCGAGUGGAUAAUGCGAUAGCGUUUGAAGCGAACGGUACUGCGUUCGAGUCUCAGAGUGAA
rnacentral:tRNA from 11 species